UGCCUUAGUAACGGCGAGUGAAGCGGCAAAAGCUCAAAUUUGAAAUCUGGUACCUUCGGUGCCCGAGUUGUAAUUUGGAGAGGGCAACUUUGGGGCCGUUCCUUGUCUAUGUUCCUUGGAACAGGACGUCAUAGAGGGUGAGAAUCCCGUGUGGCGAGGAGUGCGGUUCUUUGUAAAGUGCCUUCGAAGAGUCGAGUUGUUUGGGAAUGCAGCUCUAAGUGGGUGGUAAAUUCCAUCUAAAGCUAAAUAUUGGCGAGAGACCGAUAGCGAACAAGUACAGUGAUGGAAAGAUGAAAAGAACUUUGAAAAGAGAGUGAAAAAGUACGUGAAAUUGUUGAAAGGGAAGGGCAUUUGAUCAGACAUGGUGUUUUGUGCCCUCUGCUCCUUGUGGGUAGGGGAAUCUCGCAUUUCACUGGGCCAGCAUCAGUUUUGGUGGCAGGAUAAAUCCAUAGGAAUGUAGCUUGCCUCGGUAAGUAUUAUAGCCUGUGGGAAUACUGCCAGCUGGGACUGAGGACUGCGACGUU
rnacentral:rRNA from 1 species